rnacentral:tRNA from 2 species
GGAGAGGUGGCAGAGUGGUCGAAUGCGCUGCACUCGAAAUGCAGUGUACGGGUAACCGUACCGUGGGUUCGAAUCCCACCCUCUCCGCCA